GUCUCACGUAUAAAACAGUACCCCCUGUACAGGUUUUAUGGUGUUUUGGGAAGUUACAGGGUAAAAUAUAGCAUGUUACAUGUUUUUUCACACUGAAAUUCACCAGAUUCGUUAUGUUACCUUUGAGACCGUAUGGUAGCCCAGGAAUGAGAAUCACCCCCAUGAUGGCAUACCAUUUGCAAAAGUAGACAACCCAAGGUAUUUCAAAAGGGGUAAGUCCAAUCUUUUUUAGUAGCCACUUGGUCACAAACCCUGGCCAAAGUUAGUGUUAAUAUUUGUUUGUAUGUGAAAAAUGCAAAAAAACUAAUUAAAACGCCAAUUUGGCCAGUGUUUGUGACCAAGUGGCUACUAAAAACGACUGGACAUACCCCAUUUGCAAUACCUUGGGUUGUCUAC